rnacentral:rRNA from 1 species
CGUAGUCAACAUGCCCAGGGGACGUGGAUAACCUCGGGAAACUGAGGAUAAACCACGAUAAGUCACUACUUCUGGAAUGGGUAAUGACUCAAAUCUACAUGGCCCCUGGAUUGGACUGCGGCCGAUCAGGCUGUUGGUGAGGUAACGGCCCACCAAACCUGUAACCGGUACGGGCUCUGAGAGGAGGAGCCCGGAGAUGGGCACUGAGACAAGGGCCCAGGCCCUAUGGGGCGCAGCAGGCGCGAAACCUCUGCAAUAGGCGAAAGCCUGACAGGGUUACUCUGAGUGAUUUCCGUUAAGGAGAUCUUUUGGCACCUCUAAAAAUGGUGCAGAAUAAGGGGUGGGCAAGUCUGGUGUCAGCCGCCGCGGUAAUACCAGCACCCCGAGUGGUCGGGACGUUUAUUGGGCCUAAAGCAUCCGUAGCCGGUUCUACAAGUCUUCCGUUAAAUCCACCUGCUUAACAGAUGGGCUGCGGAAGAUACUAUGGAGCUAGGAGGCGGGAGAGGCAAGCGGUACUCGAUGGGUAGGGGUAAAAUCCGUUGAUCCAUUGAAGACCACCAGUGGCGAAGGCGGCUUGCCAGAACGCGCUCGACGGUGAGGGAUGAAAGCUGGGGGAGCAAACCGGAUUAGAUACCCGGGUAGUCCCAGCUGU